GGGAUAUAGCAGAUAAGGCACCUUCAGGACACACCACCAUACAUAGGCAAAAAGGCCUCAUAAUCCUUUGGUCCACGGUUCGAGUCCGUGUGGGCCCA
rnacentral:tRNA from 1 species